GACGAACGCUGGCGGCGUGCCUAAUACAUGCAAGUUGAGCGCUGAAGGUUGGUACUUGUACCGACUGGAUGAGCAGCGAACGGGUGAGUAACGCGUGGGGAAUCUGCCUUUGAGCGGGGGACAACAUUUGGAAACGAAUGCUAAUACCGCAUAAAAACUUUAAACACAAGUUUUAAGUUUGAAAGAUGCAAUUGCAUCACUCAAAGAUGAUCCCGCGUUGUAUUAGCUAGUUGGUGAGGUAAAGGCUCACCAAGGCGAUGAUACAUAGCCGACCUGAGAGGGUGAUCGGCCACAUUGGGGCUGAGACACGGCCCAAACUCCUACGGGAGGCAGCAGUAGGGAAUCUUCGGCAAUGGACGAAAGUCUGACCGAGCAACGCCGCGUGAGUGAAGAAGGGUGUCGGAUCGUAAAACUCUGUUGGUAGAGAAGAACGUUGGUGAGAGUGGAAAGCUCAUCAAGUGACGGUAACUACCCAGAAAGGGACGGCUAACUACGUG
rnacentral:rRNA from 1 species